CCCCCAGCGCUAAUGUUCCCGGAGAUCCAAUAUCAUUAAAGCAGAUAACGCCGCCGCUGUUUGUUGUGACACCGUGUUUUUGUGAGUGACGAGCGAAGGGUUAACUCCAGGGAAUUGGGAAUAUUGCCUGGCUGCUAAUAACACGUGAGUCACCGCCGGAAUAACACAUGGGUGCAGGGAGAGACACGGCACCCGGCUGCACAGGGUCGGGGUUUGCCGCGUGCAGGCAGCAAGGAGCGACCCUACACAGAGGGUACGUGCUGCACCCCAAAUCCGGGCCCCCAAAAGGAGGGGUCAGCUGCUGGGGUCGAGCCCUCCAGCACGGACUUAUCGCCGCGCUCCGCGCCCCGAAAUCCAGCAGCUCCAUCCCUGCACCCCAACGGGACGGGGGUCACGGGGAUGGGGGGCAGAGAGAGGACAGAGACCCGCGCGCAUCGCUCCCACCUCCUGGAAACCACGCGGAGAGGAGCCCCGCGCUCCAGCCCGGUCAGCAGAGGAAUCUGCACACGCAGACAGGAUCGCUGCAAUCGCUGGUGGCUGAGGAUGAUUCCAACACGAGGAGGAUCCCUCCGUCCUCGCCUCGCGGGGUUUAGCGCCGUGUGAACGUGGCGAGGCCGUCUAUCGCUGCACCUGCCCCCCCUAUGUACACGGGUUGCUGUGCCUGCCCCGUGCGCUGCUGCACCUGCCCUGCACGUGCACCAGGACGGAGGGAGGGGUCGGCUGCUUUGCACAAGCGGGGACAGAAGGUCGCACGGAAAAAAACAUUCCGUCGCAAGCGAGGAUGGGUUAGAAUGUAAAAGAUUUAUUAAUUUAAUCCGAAGCAUUAAAAGGUCAUGUAUUAAUCAAA